rnacentral:ncRNA from 1 species
UGCAGCAUGAGCCGGUGCCUGUCUGUCUCUACGUUUCUGUUUCCCAGCGUCGCUCUCACGGCGCGCCCAGGGAAGCAGGUCGCAGAGGCGGGUGUGGCUGAGAUUACACGGCCCUCAACUUGAUCUGGAUAAUACCAGCGAAAGGAUCAUGCCUCCUCCCCUU